rnacentral:rRNA from 1 species
UGGAAGUAAAAAAAUCGUAACAAGGUUUCCGUAGGUGAACCUGCGGAAGGAUCAUUAACAUUAAUUUACUACACACUGUUUUUUUACAACAAAACAAAUCUAUCUAAAAACAAUUCUUUACAAGAAAUUCUUAAAACUUUCAACAACGGAUCUCUUGGUUCUCGCAUCGAUGAAGAACGCAGCGAAAUGCGAUACGUAAUACGAAUCGCAGCUCUCGGAAUCAUCGAAUCUUUGAACGCACAUUGCACCAUUGGGUAUUCCCAAUGGUAUGCUUGUUUGAGCGAAUACUUCCCUAAUCCUCACGGAUUGUAUUGUGUUUGCACGAAAAUAAUGACGACAGUACUCUACAAAACGGUACCGUCAGUACACUCAUUUUUUUUCCUCAAAUCAAGUAGGACUACCCGCUGAACUUAAGCAUAUCAAAAGCGGGAGGAA